UCCCGAGUCGCAGAGGGAUGCAGUGCGCAGGCUGAGGUGGGCUCAUGGUCUCGGAUGGUGAAGAACAUCUCCUCCUAUCCCGUCUGGCCAGCAUUCCCAUGGUCAUGUGAUCAACAUGAAGGAUCUUCAUUUGCAACUUUCCGAACCGGCUUCUGACAAGCAAAGUCAAUGGGGAAAACUGGAUUCGCUUAACGACCGCAUGUUUCACUUAACUGCAGUGAUUUCCUUAACAACUGUGGGAAAAUAGGUCAUAAAAUCAGUCUUUAUUGCAGUAAUCAGAACAUUGACACUUGAGGCUUAGAAGGUGGCACUGGAGACAGUAUUCUCCUGGAGCUUUUGCACCGAACUAUUUUAGUGAGAGAUCUGAUUGGUGAAACAAGAAGGCACACUAGACCAGUGAUGGGCAACCUUUUCGGCGUGGUGUGUCAAAAUUUGGCAAAAAAUCGAGCAUAACUCACGUGGUGUGUCACUUCGACAAAAAAACAUAAUUUUGCG